UAACUUGAAAUUUAAAAAAUUUGGCGGUACUUUAAUCUUUUCAGAGGAACCUGUUCUAUAAUUGAUAAUCCACGAUUGUUUAAACUUAUUUUAAAAAUUUGUAUAUCGUCGUAAUUUAAGUAUUUUAGGAGAAUAUAAAUAUUUAAGAUUUAAUAUUAUAAAGAAAAUCAGAUCAAGGUGCAGUUUAUAGAUAAGUAGAAAUGGGUUACAAUAAAUUUAUUUAUACGGAUUAUGAAUUUAAAAUUUGUAUGAAGGUGGAUUUGAAAGUAAUAUAAUUAGCUUUUUUUAUAUGAUUUAGGCUCUAAAGUAUGCACAUAUUGCCCGUCGCUUCCAUUUAAGGUGGAAUAAGUCGUAACAAAGUAGAUGUACUGGAAAGUGUAUCUAGAAUGACAAGUUAAAGCUUAUUAAGCAUUUUAUUUACAUUAAAAAGAUAGUUGUGAAAAUCAAUUUAAUUUGAAUUGACUAAAUUAUUUAAGUUAUUAUUUAAUUUAUUUUCAUUAAAAUAAUAGUUGAUUUUAUUAUAAAUUUUAAACAAUAAUAUUAAUUAUAGAGUAUUAGUAUAGUGAUAUAAAUUUGAAAUAAGUGAAAAUUUAAAUUAUUGAAAGAAGAAUUAGAAUUUUGUACCUUGUGUAUCAGGGUUUAUUAAAUAAUAAUUUUUUAUUUAAAUAAUCUCGAAAUUUUAAGGGCUAAAAAUUUAUUAAUUUUAAUGUGAAAUAAUUAUUUUUAAUAUUUUUUUAGAAAUGAAACGUUAUUCGUUUAAAAUUAUAUCUAGUUUUUUGAGAAAUAAAUUUAAUUUAAUUAUUAUAUUAUAUUUAAUUGAUUGUUUAAUUUUAUGUAUAUAAUAUUUUAUAUUUUAAGGGAUAAGCUUUGAAAUUUAAAUUUAUAAAUAAGUGUAUAAUUUAAUAAUUGUAGAAUUAUAAGUUUUUAUUAUUUGUAGUGUGUUAUAACUAUUAUUAAAGUUGAUAUAAUUUAUAUUUGUUUUAAUUUUUAUAUCAAAAUAACUGAAUAAAUAAAUUGUUUAGUGUAAUAAUGAUAAAAUUAGUAUAAAUUGAUUUAUAAAUAUUUUAAAAAUUUUAGGUUAGGUUAAGGAAUUCGGCAAAUAUAAUUUUCGCCUGUUUAUUAAAAACAUGUCUUUUUGAUUAUGAUUUAAAGUCUAAUCUGCCCAAUGAUGAUUUGAAUGGCCGCAGUAUUUUGACUGUGCAAAGGUAGCAUAAUAAUUAGUUUUUUAAUUGAAAGCUGGUAUGAAUGAUUGGACGAGAAAUUAGCUGUCUCAAUUUAAAUUAUUUAGAAUUUUAUUUUUAAGUUAAAAAGCUUAAAUUUAUAUAAAAGACGAGAAGACCCUAUAGAGUUUAAUAAUUUUGUGAUUUUAAAUUUUUAGAAUUCUAUAUUUUAAAUUAUUAUUAUUAUUUGGUUGGGGUGACUAGAAAAUUAAAUCGCAACCUUUCUUUUUUUAAGAC
rnacentral:rRNA from 1 species